GAAAAUCCGCCUUGAGCUCGAUUCUCCCGACAGUGGUUAUGGCGGCCUCGAGUGAACCCAACUCAAGAGAAGACAUCUUCGACUCCUCACUGAAUCUAGAAGAAACCCACCUCAAAGAAGGCUAUAACGAGGGCUACGCCGACGAUUUAGUCUCUGGCGAGGAGGAGGGCCGGCAAGUGGGCUUAAAAACCGGGUUCGAAGUCGGCGAAGAGUUGGGCUUUUACAGGGGUUGUAUUGAUGUAUGGAACUCCGCUAUUCGGGUCGAUUCGAAUUGCUUUUCGUCUCGGGUCGUGAGAAGCAUCAAACAAAUGGAAGAGUUGCUGAACAAGUACCCGAUUUCCAACCCGGAAGAUGAGUCGGUUAGCGAUGUUAUGGACUCUUUGAGGUUGAAGUUUCGGGCUAUUUGUGCCACCUUGAAUGUGAAGUUGGAGUAUAAUGGCUAUCCCAAAUCUUCUGAUGGUGGAAAUAUCCAAUUUUGAGGUUAAUUUUUGCCCCAUUUUUUAGAAUUUUUUGUCAAAUCUUUUGCUUUCCUUUUUUUCCCCUAUGUUUUCAUAAGUAUUGAUCUGAUGGCUUAAUUGGAUUGGCUAAUUGGGAUUCUUUUGCUUCUGUAUAUUGAUUAUGGACAUGUCUUUUGCUACAGUUGGAAACCAGAUUUUUGGAUUUUCUUGGGAUUUAAAGCUCUUUUUGGUUUUUGUGGUUGAUUAACUGGUUGGGUUCAGAAUAGUUUCUAGUUUAAAACUUUUAUUGUCUAAAUUCUGUUUGGUAAUUACAGAUUAGUUGUUAUGUUAUAGAUAUUUUAGGGAAAAUAAUCAGAAAUUUUUAAUAAAGAAAGGUACCAUUCAUGUAUGAAAAUGUACCCAGUUCUGUACAUAAUGUAAAAUAGAUAAAAAUUAUGCCCUCUUCAAUAUAUAUCUUAAAUGGCGUGCCCUUUCCAGCAAUUUUCCCUUUUUUUCCGUCAUAAUUCAUUAUAUUUGUGGGGCUGGUAGCCUCAGAUGAGCGACAAAUAGAAUGCCUUCUGCAGAGGAUUUAGCUGUAAUCUUGCGAAGAAGCUAUAUGAUUGACUAUGCUAGCAAAUAUGCAGUGGAAAGAGGGGAAAGAAGAAGACAUGAAUAUUAACUAGUGAAAAUGUAUGUGUAAUAGAUAAUCUAUUGAGGUGACAGUUAUGCCAAACUGGAAAGACUGUAAAUCCAUAUCUGAAAUUUGAGAUUUUGGUAAAUAGUACUAGGAGUAAUUUUCUAAGCAAGAGGAAUUCAGAAGUCUUUGAGAUUUAUGGAAUUGAGUGUAUCAGAAAAUUGAGAUUGUGGUGAAUAGAACUAGGAGCAAUUAUUUGAUCUGGAGAACUCAAAAUGUCUUUGAGAUUUAUAAAAUUGUCAGCAGACUUGGAGCCAUAUGUUAGCCUGGCUGUUGUGGUGCAUACUAUAAUUUUUGCAUGUCUAUAAGCUGAAAUUUCGACUCUGCUGUCAGCUGAUUCACUUUUUCUAGAUUUUAUUUGCACUUUGAGAAUUUAGGUUUCAGAUUCAUUAUGUAUAGCCAUUUAGGUAACAUGUAAAGAUGAUUACUUUCUUACGUAGAGAAAGCACAUAUACAUUUUUUUAGCUCUUUUUUUUUAAUUUUAUUUUUGGAACUGAGUAAACAUCUUUGUUUUGUGUCUAGGUUGAAGAAAAGGAACUUGGUCACUUUGUGGUGCAGGGGAAGAAGGAAAGUGUUUUUCAAGUGCGUUGGCUUGAGAUCCGAGCUGACUCUACACUUUUCUUUGUGAAAGAAAGGUUUCAUUUUCACACAUGCCUUGAGGAUGGAGGGUGGAGACAAAAGGUUGAUAAAUGACUGUAAGACUGUGAUGCAAAAGAUUGUUGGUGGAGUGCAUGCUGAUAACAGUCAUUAACUUGUCUGUGUUUUGGGCAGGUUUAUAGCAAUUGAGCCAACAAUUAAUUCUUUAAAGUAUAGCUCUAUGUCGGAGAAAUUUUUAUGCUUGUCUUAGCCCUCAUCAGCUUCUCCUGGCUUCAUGAAAGCUUAUUGUCUUGUAGUUUACAUAAAAUUUAUAUUACAAUUGGAGCUAGUGAUGCAUCAUCAAGGGCUUCCGAGGCUGUUCUUUCUGGACCCUGUACAAAGACUGAAGUGUUGGAAAGCUUCUAAAAUGCACCUAUCUUUAGCUGACAUGAUCGACAAGGCUGUUGGAUACCUGUUGUCAGAUGAAAUUUCGUGCAAUUCUUUAUAUUGUGUCUUAUUUCUUGAAUUGCAUGAAGCCUAGGAAGAUUUCACAUGCAAAAAGGAUAAUCCCCCAGUUUGAUAUUUUGGUUGAAACUUAAAAAGGGGGAUGAACAUACAAGAAACCCAUGCAGGCAUAGAUCAAGUCUUCUAGCAAUCAGGAAUGAUGCCUACUGAAUUAGACUAUUCAGCACUGCUAAAAAUGGGAUAUCUCACGAGUAGGCAGGUGAUUUGUGUGGAUAUACUUGGUUGAAUUCUCAUCCUGGCUUUGGCAAUUGCCAAGGCUGCCUGGUGAAAUUGUUGAUUAAUUUGCAACAUGAGACGUGGACAACCCUUUUUGGUUAAUAUGUAGGGAAAGCAAAUAUUGGUUUCUUUGACUUUCAUUAUUGCCAAAAGUUGCCUCCCACCCCAACUGACUGGCCAGGGGAUCGAUCCCUUGACCAGUCAGCGAGAAACUUUCAGCCAAAAGAAGGUUGCGAAAAGGCCAUUGCCUUUUCUAUCAAUGAGGUUGGGAAAAGAUGGUAUUGAAAUUUCCACAUAACAAGUUAGUGCAAUUCUUGCAUACAUUUCAGUAUAACUGAUUUUCACAAUCAAGACCUGAGGUUUACAUGGUCAUACUCCUUGACCCGAAAUUUUGACCAAUAAAGGGUUUUUUUUUUUUUAAUGUUCUGCUUCUGCCAAUAAUACUACGAGACAUUUGUACGAUUCUUCCCCUUCUUCUGAACUUUUCAAUUUGAAUAUGUAUCAUUUUGAUCCCUAAUUUUGCUGCUGAUAGACAUAAUAGUAAGGUAAAUUUGAAAUCCGUGGUUUAACUCUCAAACCAUUCUUUUUCCUCUAUCAUGGUUUGUAAUCUCUCUUUAUAAAAAAAAAAAAAAUCUCUUUUCUUGCCCAAAAUUAAAAAAAAAAAGGGAAAUCAGUCUUUAUGUUACAUAUAGAAAAUGUGUACUACUCGAGAAAACAAAAAUAAUGAUCAUAGAAAAUUCAAAAAGGGAUACAUGAAUGUAAAGUAAAACUAGUGGCUUCCCAAAGUACUGCCAAAAGGGUAAUUCAACUUUUAUCCUGCUCUAAGAAAAUAGGCAAAAAAAUAAUAAAAAGAAAAUAACUAUAGAAAUUCUAAAAUAUCUCUGUGAAAUUCUAAUUUCUUGAUUAUUGGCAAAAACUUGGCACUAUCCAAUCUAUCUAAUGUGUUGCGCGGACAUGGCUGUGCCUGAGUUUUAACUACGUGUAAUGACAUCUUUCUAUGCCACCGAGUUAAUUGCACCAUGUAGGAUUUAACACAUAAAGCAUGCAUGGGUUAAAGGGUUGUGUAUGAGGAAAUGAGAUGAUGUCCACCGGAGCAGCUGCCGUGCUUCAAAAUCCUUAUGCAUUACAAGCUGGAUAUCAGGGGGUGCAGGUGCCCCAAUUCCCCCUCCCAAUUUAUGCCAAUGAGGCCAGCCGGUGUUGGAAUGAGAAUGCAUGGCAUUUUCUUCUUCAACUGCGCUACCUGUGAUGCCAUUCCCCUUGGCUAGUCCUUGUCAAUCAACCCUAGCAGCCUCAGGAACGGGCAAGCUAUUUGUGAUGCACCUAGAAGGUCAGUUAAUUCAUCAUAUACACUUAAAUCUUAGGGGUCCCCAAUAUAACUGUUGCCAGAAAUAUGGCCCUGGUUAAUUUAUUGUGACAAUGAUAGACAUGGCCGGGGCUGGCGUUUGCCAUUUGCAGCGUAAAUUAGCAGCAUGUGCAGCAUAAACUCUGGAGUUAGGCCCUACUAACUAAAUGUAGUCUUGAAGGGUAAAUAUACAGAAGCAUAAGAGUCCCAAUUAGCCAAUUCAAUCAAGCCUCAGAUCAACACUCAGAAAAAAUAGGGAAAAAAAAAAAGAAUUUACAUAAAGAACUAUGUAAAAAAAGGCAAAAAUUAACCUCAAAAUUGGAUAUUUUCUCCAUCAGAAGAUUUGGGAUAGCCAUUAUACUCCAACUUCACAUUCAACGUGGCACAAAUAGCCCGAAACUUCAACCUCAAAGAAUCCAUAACAUCCCCAACGGACUCAUCUUCCGGCUCCGAUAUUGGGUACUUGCUCAGCAACUCUUCCAUUUGUUUGAUGCUUCUUACGACCCGAGACGAAAAGCAAUUUGAAUCGACCUGAAUAGCAGAGUUCCACACAUCAAUACAACCCUUGUAAAAGCCCAACCCUUGUAAAACGUCGUCGUGUCUUGCUUUUCCAAUUAAUCCAUGAAAAUCCGCCUUGAGCUCGAUUCUCCCGACAGUGGUUAUGGCGGCCUCGAGUGAACCCAACUCAAGAGAAGACAUCUUCGACUCCUCACUGAAUCUAGAAGAAACCCACCUCAAAGAAGGCUAUAACGAGGGCUACGCCGACGAUUUAGUCUCUGGCGAGGAGGAGGGCCGGCAAGUGGGCUUAAAAACCGGGUUCGAAGUCGGCGAAGAGUUGGGCUUUUACAGGGGUUGUAUUGAUGUAUGGAACUCCGCUAUUCGGGUCGAUUCGAAUUGCUUUUCGUCUCGGGUCGUGAGAAGCAUCAAACAAAUGGAAGAGUUGCUGAACAAGUACCCGAUUUCCAACCCGGAAGAUGAGUCGGUUAGCGAUGUUAUGGACUCUUUGAGGUUGAAGUUUCGGGCUAUUUGUGCCACCUUGAAUGUGAAGUUGGAGUAUAAUGGCUAUCCCAAAUCUUCUGAUGGUGGAAAUAUCCAAUUUUGAGG
rnacentral:lncRNA from 1 species